UNUGCUGUGAAAGGCUGGGGCUUAACCCUGGUUUUGCAGUGGGUACGGGCUAACUAGAGUGCAGUAGGGGAGACUGGAAUUCCUGGUGUAGCGGUGGAAUGCGCAGAUAUCAGGAGGAACACCGAUGGCGAAGGCAGGUCUCUGGGCUGUAACUGACGCUGAGAAGCGAAAGCAUGGGGAGCGAACAGGAUUAGAUACCCUGGUAGUCCAUGCCGUAAACGUUGGGCACUAGGUGUGGGGGACAUUNCACGUUUUCCGCGCCGUAGCUAACGCAUUAAGUGCCCCGCCUGGGGAGUACGGCCGCAAGGCUAAAACUCAAAGAAAUUGACGGGGGCCCGCACAAGCGGCGGAGCAUGCGGAUUAAUUCGAUGCAACGCGAAGAACCUUACCAAGGCUUGACAUAUACUGGACUGCGUCAGAGAUGGCGUUUCCCUUCGGGGCUGGUAUACAGGUGGUGCAUGGUUGUCGUCAGCUCGUGUCGUGAGAUGUUGGGUUAAGUCCCGCAACGAGCGCAACCCUCGUUCUAUGUUGCCAGCACGUGAUGGUGGGGACUCAUAGGAGACUGCCGGGGUUAACUCGGAGGAAGGUGGGGAUGACGUCAAAUCAUCAUGCCCCUUAUGUCUUGGGCUUCACGCAUGCUACAAUGGCCGGUACAGAGGGUUGCGAUACUGUGAGGUGGAGCUAAUCCCUAAAAGCCGGUCUCAGUUCGGAUUGGGGUCUGCAACUCGACCCCAUGAAGUCGGAGUCGCUAGUAAUCGCAGAUCAGCAACGCUGCGGUGAAUACGUUCCCGGGCCUUGUACACACCGCCCGUCAAGUCACGAAAGUUGGUAACACCCGAAGCCGGUGGCCUAACCCUGGUGGGGGG
rnacentral:rRNA from 1 species